UACGGGGGGGGGCAAGCGUUGUUCGGAAUUAUUGGGCGUAAAGGGCGCGUAGGCGGCCUGGCAAGUGACGGGUGAAAGCCCUCGGCUUAACCGAGGAACUGCCUGUCAGACUGUUAGGCUUGAGACCGGGAGAGGUGAGUGGAAUUCCCAGUGUAGCGGUGAAAUGCGUAGAUAUUGGGAGGAACACCAGUGGCGAAGGCGGCUCACUGGACCGGUACUGACGCUGAGGCGCGAAAAGCGUGGGGGAGCAAACAGG
rnacentral:rRNA from 1 species